rnacentral:snRNA from 14 species
AAAACUGGAACAACCCAGAGAUCAUUACCAUGACCUCUGCACAAGAAUGAGAGGCAAACUCAUGAAGGAUCCUUAUUUAA